rnacentral:rRNA from 1 species
GUUUGAUCCUGGGGCUCAGAAUGAACGCUGGCGGCGUGCCUAACACUUGCAAGUCGAGCGAGAAAGUGGCUUCGGCCAUGAGUAAAGCGGCGAACGGGUGAGUAACACGUGGAUAACCUACCUUAGAGUGGGGGAUAACUCGGGGAAACUCGGGCUAAUACCGCAUACGUUCAUUUGGCCUCGGCCAGGUGAAGAACGGUGGCCUCUGCUUGCAAGCUACUGCUCUUUGAGGGGUCCGCGUCUGAUUAGCUAGUUGGUGGGGUAAUGGCCUACCAAGGCUACAAUCAGUAGCCGGCCUGAGAGGGUGAUCGGCCACACUGGAACUGAGACACGGUCCAGACUCCUACGGGAGGCUGCAGUGGGGGAUAUUGCGCAAUGGGCGAAAGCCUGACGCAGCAACGCCGCGUGGAGGAUGAAGGCUUUCGGGUCGUAAACUCCUGUCAGGUGGGACGAAAGGGUGUCGGUUAUAACCCGAUGUCUUUGACGGUACCACCAGAGGAAGCCCCGGCUAACUCCGUGCCAGCAGCCGCGGUAAUACGGAGGGGGCAAGCGUUAUUCGGAAUUAUUGGGCGUAAAGGGCGCGUAGGCGGCUUGGUAAGUCAGCGGUGAAAUCCCUCGGCUCAACCGAGGAAUUGCCUCUGAAACUGCCUCGCUAGAGGCCGGGAGANGGUAGUGGAAUUCCCAGUGUAGCGGUGAAAUGCGUAGAUAUUGGGAGGAACACCAGUGGCGAAGGCGGCUACCUGGACCGGUUCUGACGCUGAGGUGCGAAAGCGUGGGGAGCA